CUCUUUUUUAGAUUGGUGCACUAACAUUUGUUUCCCCCUUUUUCCUUUAAUCCUUUAUAUUACCCCCCCUUUUUUUUAAGCUACAUUUUUAUUGCCCUUAUCUCUCUCAAACCAUUUCUCUUUCUCUUUCUCAGAUUCAGCCUCACCGUGGCACCGUCACUCUAUCGUUCCAUUUGUCACAAACCUUUCACAAACCCUUUCUAUGUUUCUCACAUAAACCCCAAUCAUAGAUCUGCUCUCAGUUUUCGGAUCUGACGGUGGCGAUGAUUUGCGUUUUAGGAUAUGACAACGGCGAGGGUUUAUCUCUUUGGAAUCUCUCUCCUCAGUCGCCGUCGGAGGAGGACAGGUAACUACCUCGAUCUUCUCUUCUUUCAUUCAAAUCGAUAAUGCAUUGUUUUUUAAAAUCUAAUCUCUUUUUUGUUGAGGGAAAUCUUUUGUGUUGCAAAGUGUUGUUGGAAGGAGACUUUCUUCCUCGUAGAUCUGCCAUUGUUUCUAGUGAAAAGUGAGGUCCAUCAUUUGGUUGAGAUCAUUUAGGUAUGGGAACAAAACUACCUCUAGUGAAUAAGUGAAGUGCAGGAAACCAAAUUUACAUUAAAGGUAUAAGGCAUACUCUUAAAGCUGCAUAUUUUGUGGCUGAACAAAUAUGGAUUCUUGUGAGCGAAGGUCCUAGAGAUAGAAAAUGCAAGUGAUUUGAGUUUAAGUUCAUUAUUCUUAAAGGAUUUUGGUUCUUUUGCAGCUACAGUGUUGGAUUUAUAUGUGCUUGAUGAAUGUGUGUUUGGUGUACUAUGCUACAGCAGGGUCUGGUUGUUGUAGUCUAUGUUGGUUGACAGUGUUGCAGCUCUGAUAUAAGGGCUCUUUUGCUGCUGAGAGAUCUGGUUUACUCCUAAAUAUUUGCAUGUUGUUCUUUCUUAAGCUCCAGCCCGCUAUCGGUGGUAUGGAUACACGAAGAUAUGUGCCUGCAUUUUGGUUGUUUGUGAACUGGAUUGCACAUCCAUAUAUGUUUCUUGUAUUGUUUUUUUUGGGAAUUUUAUACUGCUUGAGUUAUGAGCGUUGUUAUUCCCUUUGUAUGUUCUGUUUUUGCAGCCAGUUUAUAAUCUGUGCUCCUGUUUGUGUGUAAUCAAUUUUAUUGGUUGUUAAAAAAACAUUACAAGGUAGUAUAAUUUGUUGAACUAUUUAUGUUACACUAUGUAAUAUUACAAUCUGUGUUUGAAAAAUAAUUUAUAUUAGUAUUAGGAA